GCCGGGCAUGGUGGCGCAUGCCUGUAGUCCUAGCUACUCGGGAGGCUGAGGUGGGGGGGGGGUCGCCUGGGACCAGGAGUUCUGGGCUGUGGUGUGCCGUGCCAAUCAUGUGUCCUCACUGAGGUAGGCAUCAAUAUGGUGACCUCCUGGGAGCAGGGGACCACCAAGCUGCUUAAGGAAAGGUAAACUGCCCCAGGUUGAAAACAGAGCAGGUCAAAACUCCCAUGCUGAUCAGUAGUGGGAUCGUGCCAGUGAAUAGCCACUGCACUCCAGCCUGGGCAACAUAACGAGACCCUGUCUCCA
rnacentral:SRP_RNA from 1 species